CGUAGGAUCCGAGCGUUGUCCGGAUUUACUGGGUGUAAAGGGUGCGCAGGCGGACUGGUAAGUCAGUGGUGAAAUCUCGUCGCUUAACGACGAAACUGCCUUUGAUACUAUCAGUCUUGAGUCUGGUAGAGAUCUGUGGAAUUCCGAGUGUAGCAGUGAAAUGUGUAGAUAUUCGGAAGAACACCAGUGGCGAAGGCAGCAGAUUGGGCCGGUACUGACGCUCAUGCACGAAAGCGUGGGGAUCAAACAGGAUUAGAUACCCUGGUAGUCCACGCCCUAAACGAUGUACACUUGAUGUCGGCCUGUAAGGGUCGGUGUCGGAGCUAACGCGUUAAGUGUACCACCUGGGGAGUACGCUCGCAAGGGUG
rnacentral:rRNA from 1 species